GGAUGUGAGGGCGAUCUGGCUGCGACAUCUUUCACCCCAUUGAUGGCCAGGGUUGACUUGGCUGAUCUGGCUGGCUAGGUGGAUGUCCCCUUCUCCCCUCACCACUCCAUGUGCAUCCCUCCAGAAGCUGCAGUAGAAGAGGAUGGCCUUCCUCAAAUAGCGAUGGACUGGUCUUUGAUGGAGGUUAUACAAUUAGCUGUGCUCCCUUGCUAGAACUUCCAAACAAGGUCUCAAGGAUGGGGAAAAUGACCAGAGGGCUCUGAAUAGCAAUUCCAGCAGAACCCAAAGCAUUUGUCACCAGGAAUAUUGUUUUUG
ensembl:misc_RNA 7SK 7SK RNA